rnacentral:rRNA from 1 species
AACGAACGCUGGCGGCAUGCCUAACACAUGCAAGUCGAACGAGACCUUCGGGUCUAGUGGCGCACGGGUGCGUAACGCGUCGGAACCUUCCCUUAUGUUCGGAAUAACUCCCCGAAAGGGGUGCUAAUACCGGAUAAUGUCUUCGGACCAAAGAUUUAUCGCCUUUGGAUGGUCCCGCGUUGGAUUAGCUAGUUGUUAGGGUAAAAGCCUACCAAGGCGACGAUCCAUAGCUGGUCUGAGAGGAUGAUCAGCCACACUGGGACUGAGACACGGCCCAGACUCCUACGGGAGGCAGCAGUGGGGAAUAUUGGAACAUGGGCGAAAGCCUGAUCCAGCAAUGCCGCGUGAGUGAUGAAGGCAUUAGGGUUGUAAAGCUCUUUUACCCGGGAUGAUAAUGACAGUACCGGGAGAAUAAGCUCCGGCUAACUCCGUG